rnacentral:rRNA from 1 species
UGGGGAAUUUUGGACAAUGGGGGCAACCCUGAUCCAGCAAUGCCGCGUGUGUGAAGAAGGCCUUCGGGUUGUAAAGCACUUUUGUCCGGAAAGAAAACGUCGUGGUUAAUACCCGUGGCGGCUGACGGUACCGGAAGAAUAAGCACCGGCUAACUACGUGCCAGCAGCCGCGGUAAUACGUAGGGUGCAAGCGUUAAUCGGAAUUACUGGGCGUAAAGCGUGCGCAGGCGGUCCGCUAAGACAGAUGUGAAAUCCCCGGGCUUAACCUGGGAACUGCAUUUGUGACUGGGCGGGCUAGAGUAUGGCAGAGGGGGGUAGAAUUCCACGUGUAGCAGUGAAAUGCGUAGAGAUGUGGAGGAAUACCGAUGGCGAAGGCAGCCCCCUGGGCCAAUGCUGACGCUCAUGCACGAAAGCGUGGGGGAGCAAACAGGAUUCAGAUACCCUGGGUAGUCCACGCCCUAAACGAUGUCAACUAGUUGUUGGGGAUUCAUUUCCUUAGUAACGUAGCUAA